rnacentral:rRNA from 1 species
CCAGGUUGAUUCUGCCUGACGUAGACGCUAUUCCCUAAGAUUAACCCAUGCAUGUUUUUGACAUUUGAAAAAUGGACUGCUCAGUAAUACUCACUUUAUUUUAUGUACAUUUGAAAUUAACUACGUUAAAGUGUAGAUAAGAUGUGUACAGUAAGAGUGAGACCUAUCAGCUAGUUGUUAAGGUAAUGGCUUAACAAGGCAGUGACGGGUAACGGUAUUACUUUGUAAUAUUCCGGAGAAGGAGCCUGAGAGACGGCUACUAAGCCUAAGGAUUGCAGCAGGGGCGAAACUUGACCUAUGGAUUUUAUCUGAGGCAGUUAUGGGAAGUAAUAUUAUAUUGUUUCAUAUUUUAAAAGUAUAUGAGGUGAUUAAUUGGAGGGCAAAUCAAGUGCCAGCAGCCGCGGUAAUACUUGUUCCAAGAGUGUGUAUGAUGAUUGAUGCAGUUAAAAAGUCCGUAGUUUAUUUUUAAGAAGCAAUAUGAGGUGUACUGUAUAGUUGGGAGAGAGAUGAAAUGUGACGACCCUGACUGGACGAACA